UCCUCCGUAGCUCAGUCGGUAGUAGCACCUGACUGUUAAUCAGGGUGUCGCUGGUUCGAGUCCAGCCGGGGGAGCCA
rnacentral:tRNA from 1 species